AGUGAACGCUGGCGGUAGGCCUAACACAUGCAAGUCGAACGGCAGCACAGGAGAGCUUGCUCUCUGGGUGGCGAGUGGCGGACGGGUGAGGAAUACAUCGGAAUCUACUUUUUCGUGGGGGAUAACGUAGGGAAACUUACGCUAAUACCGCAUACGACCUACGGGUGAAAGCCGGGGACCUUCGGGCCUGGCGCGGAUAAAUGAGCCGAUGUCCGAUUAGCUAGUUGGCGGGGUAAGAGCCCACCAAGGCGACGAUCGGUAGCUGGUCUGAGAGGAUGAUCAGCCACACUGGAACUGAGACACGGUCCAGACUCCUACGGGAGGCAGCAGUGGGGAAUAUUGGACAAUGGGCGCAAGCCUGAUCCAGCCAUACCGCGUGGGUGAAGAAGGCCUUCGGGUUGUAAAGCCCUUUUGUUGGGAAAGAAAAGCAGCCAGUUAA
rnacentral:rRNA from 1 species